GUCAGCACAAACCGGAACCUCCAACCCGUAGCUCGACCGAGGGAUGCUGAUGUCGGGGGAAACCCUCCCAUGAACCAGUGGGAUAGAGCGAAAGACAAAGACCGGAACAUACGAAAGCGCCCAGUUGUGGCGCUUUCGUUUU
rnacentral:sRNA from 1 species